AGAGAAUAUUUCAGCAAUAUGAAGUGCGACACAUUUAGACGCAUGCAUGUGGUGUUUGAAGGUCUCAUCUGAAAGACCAGCAACUUUCUCUUUUGAAUGCUAAAUAUGACGAUGGAGCAUUCACCUCACUACCUACAUUUACACCCUAAAUAAAGUACAUUAGCAUGGCUCGAAACCAUGAUUUCUUCAUCAUGAAGCAAAUGCUCUGUUACCACUGAGCUACCAAUUUUUUAACAUGAAUUCAUAGCUAAAAAUUUUAAAAAUUUAUAACUAAUUUUUUGGUUAAUUCCAUAAAUAUUAUUCCUCUCUUUAGACACAAUUCUGGGUAACCCCCUGCCUUUGGGCUUUCAGAAUGGGACAAUGUCAGGAGAGCUUUUGUUAUUUGUUAUACUCUUAGUGUUGAUGGCAUCUAUGAACAACAGGAUAAUGUUUUUAGAUUAUUAUUUCUGAUAUCAUAUUUGUAAAUUGUUUAUGAGGGGUUGUUAAAGUUUGUGGACAAAAGGACACACUUAUUAAAAAUUCAAAGUUAUGAUAAGUAAAAAAUAUAGGAGAUGUGUAACAAGAUUGUAGAUUUGAACAUUUUAAUUUUAAUUAAUUUUUAUAAGUAUUGAUUUCAGAUACAUGUAUGACAUUGCAUGCUUGAUCGGGGAGGGGGGCUACAGUUAGAUAAUAUUCUGGUCAGCACAUUCGAUAAACUACAGUUGUACAUGGACCUCAUUAAAUCACUUCUUUUUCUUUCAGUGGUCUUCAACUUUUAAUCUCUAAGAAGGAAAUGUAAUUAAAAGAUGAAUAAAGUAUCCCUAAGAAUACCAGAAGAAAGGCUGUGUUGAGAAAAACAGCCCUUCCUCAGUACCUCAGAACUAGAUGAUAGCCCUUGUUACUUUAUGCUGAAUAUGACACAGUAUAGAAGAUCUGAUCAUGAAGAAGUUACACCAUUGAUACACUUGCCAACUGCCAAAACUACUUUCUGAUAGUAUGACGAGAUUAGAAGAUAUCAUGGUGUAGUCAUGACACAAACUGCAAAUCAAAGAUUGUCUUCCCCAGAGGAUGAACAGAGUGCUUCACAUGGAUAACAUUUCCUUUUCGAGUUUUGAAAUUAUCAAACAUAAUUUUGCAUCAAAGAGAAAAAGUGGCUUUGACAUAACCUAGAAAAUACAAUAUUCAUUAAAAAGAGCAUGGCACCAGGAUAGCUAGAUGCCCAUAUUCCCAGCAAAAUGAGCCAGUCCUAAAGAGAGUCCACUAGAGAUGAAAUAAAACGCAUUAAAAUGUAUUGAGAAAAGAUUUGUCAGAAUGUUAUACAUCAUGAUCAACAGAAAAGAACUUCACAGGUAGACCAAAGCUGACAUGGGAUGAGAUCCUAAAACGAGACCUAGAGUUUAGAGGAUUGGAUAGGAUCAAUCCACUGGGUCGCCAAGUGUAGAAGUACAAACUUCAACCUCGACAGGACAGCCAGGCCUCACCCUUGCAAAACUAUUAAUUUGGCCUGGAUAGUCAAAAUGAGUGAUGAUGAUGAUAUCAAGGUCUGACACUGUAAGCUCAGUAAGGGUAGAUGCUGGCAAUGGAGCUGUUAAGCAAUACAACAAACAGGUUUAACAUUGAACAUGUUUAUAUACUUUUUAGCUCACCUGAGCCAAAGGCUCAAAUGAGCUUUUCUGAUCACCUUUGCCUGUCGUCUGUCUCUCUGUAAACUUUUCACAUUUUCAUUUUCUUCUCCAGAGUGAACCACUGGGCCAGUUUCAAUCAAACUUGGUAUGCAUCAUCAAUAGAUAAGGGGUAUGCAAAAAUAGGGUGGGGUCAUUUAAAAAACCUUUUCAAGAACCACUGGACCAGGAAAGUUGAAUUCACAUAAAAGUUUCCUGUUUUGUGCAAAUCAUGGUAUCCGGGGGUAGGGUGAGGUCACAAUCGAGGAUCAAAGUUUUACAUUCAUAUAUAGUACAGAUUCAAGUUUGUUAAAGGUCAUGGCUCACAGGGGUAGAGUGGGGUCACAAUAGGGGAUCUAAGUUUUAUAUGUGAAAUAUAUACAAGGAAAAUUUUUUAAAAUCUUCUCCUAAAAAACUAGAUGCAGAACUAAACCCAAAAUUGUAGCUCUUUGAGAAGAUAUUGGGGCAAGUCAGAGUGCUAGAGCUUCAGAUGAGCCCCUUAUUAAAAAUCUUCAAUUUACGGCACAGAAAAAAAGUGCAUGGUUAAGUCCCUCUAUCACUGCAUUCCUGCAUCGCUGUCUCAUGAAUUUAAUAUUAAAUAAUUCCUAACAUAUUUUCCCACUAUACUUGUUUCCAAGCAUACUUUCAAAUAUUCCUUAAACCCACAUAUAACCUAAAAACUCACAGCUUCAAGUGAUUUUCUUUGUUGAUGUAGCCAUGUUAGGUAUACGUAGCCAGUCAAUUUGAACCCCAGUUCAUUUCCAUACUCGUACUCAUUUUGAAACAUAAUGUCUGUGUGAACUAAUAUCCCCACAAAUAUUUUUAGUGAAAUAUUUUGGAUGAAAUCAUCCCAGUUGGGUUAAAUACUUAUUAUUCAAAAACUGUAGGUUUGAAUAUUGAACUAAUCUCACAGCUUUCUUAAGAUUGGUCCCCAUCCACUCCAGUCUGUUUUUACGCUUAGCUAUUGAAAUGGAGUGUAAGGGAUCGGACUAGGCUUUAAUAGCAUUAUCAAUUUUCAAAAGCUUUAGAAAAAUUAUACAAUUUUAGGUCACUUGAGUAAACUCAGAUGACAUAUUGCUAUUGGUCUGCGUCCGUUGUAGUCCAUCGAUGUUAACAAUUGAAUAUUUUUAACUAAAUUCUAUAACUGAAAGGUGAAGAUAACGAACAGCGAUCAAUCUACGAUUCGAAUAACAGAAUUCUUUUCAAAUUUAGUAUGAAGCACACAAAUUUACAUUAAACCUUCCUGCCAUAGUGCAUAUUCAAGUUUGUUAAAAUCAUUUCCCGGGAGGUAUGGUGUGGUAACAAUAGGGGAUCAAAGUUUUAUAUGCUGAUACAUGUAUAUUUAAAGGAAAAAUCUUUAAAGAUAUCUCUUGAACUAUUUAAGCUAGAGCUUUCAUAUCUUGUAUAUACAAUUUUUAUGGCAAAACAAAUCUGACCUAUUCAGUGUGUCCUGAACUACAUUGUGUUUAAGGUAAAACUUAUAUGGUACCAAUUUUGAUGCACCAGAUGCGCAUUUCGACAAAUAAUGUCUCUUCAGUGGUUGGCGUGGGUUCGAAUCCUGCUUGCACCGGUAAGUGAGAAAGUUUCCCAGUUUACUCUCGGAAGGUCAGUGGGGUUCUCUCUUCCACCAAUAAAAACUGGGCACCACCAGCUAACUGAAAAAUUGUUGAGUGUGGCGGAAAACAGCUAAAACAAUCAAUCAUAUUAUGUUCUUUGACCUUGUGACCCUGAACUCUGAGUUUGACCUACUUUUAAGAAAGUAUAACUUAUUAAGUAUAUCCAGGACUAUUUUAGAUAGGGCUUUCAUGUAUUGUAUAUAGAUUACUUAUGGCAAAGUCUUUCAUAUUAUACCAAGACCUAUGACUUCAUACCUUGGUCUUAUCCAGAACAGCAAUAUCAUGCUUGUCAUAUCUUUGUGUUAUAUGAUUUCAUUUUAGUAAUGUUGUGUUCUUUAGAGGUAGGUUUGGGUCACAUUAUUCAUGAGAAUAAAGAUUGAUAAAAUAGCAUUUAAAAAUCAAAACAGCAGGGCCAAGGUGACUUAGGUGAGCGAUGUGGCCCCUGGGCCUCUUGUUGAUUUUGAUAUUUGUACAGAUAUCAUUUGUAUGAGAAAUGGAACUCUUUUUUUUUCUUUUACAAAUACAUGUAUUAUCAUAUGGAUCCAUCUGUGUUGAUUAUUUAAUCAAAGGACUACAUUCAAUGUAUUAAAUGCAAAUUUAUUGAUAUGUCUGUGGUUGAAUUACUCAUGUAUGUAUACAUUUUUUUGGCACAUGCAAUUACAUAUAUAAUGUAUAUAUAUAUAUAUAUAUAUAUAUAUAUAUAUACUAAUUGUACAUAUAACAUCUCCUGUAAUAUAAUAAAAUAUAUGACUGAGAAUAAAAGACCUGCUGUUUUCAUUGCUACCAUGGAACAUUAAAAGAUUAGAAUAAUUCAAAUAUCUUAAUGAAUUCUGUAAUAUAUGAAUUUGAUAUUUGUAUACAAUUGCCUCACUGGUGUUGAAUGUGAACUUUGGUUUAUCAUUUCAGUUUGCUCUUUAUAUCAAAUCAAAAUUUAAGACAAAUAAGGAAUUAUUUCCGAAAUUGGUUAAUA